rnacentral:lncRNA from 1 species
GUUAGGACCAGACUAGCAUGGUCCUCAAACUUGCGCAGGUGAAGGAACAGAAAGAGUUCUAUUCUUGUUGCCCAGGCUGGAGUGCAAUGGCACGAUCUUAGCUCACUGCAACCUCCGCCUCCCAGAUUCAAGCAAUUCUCCUGCCUCAGCCUCCCGAGUAGCUGGGAUUACAGGCACGCAUCACCACACCCAGCUAAUUUUUUGUAUUUUUAGUAGAGACGGGGUUUCACCAUGUCACCAUGUUGGCCAGGCUGGUCUCAAACUCCUGACCUCAAGUGAUCCACCUGCCUCGGCCUCCCAAAGUGCUGGGAUUACAGGCCUGAGCCACUGCACCCAGCCAGUCACAUAUAGUUUAUCUUAACUUUACCUGGUUACUGGGUGACCAUCUGUGUUAGCCUGUUGCCUUUAUCCCAAG